rnacentral:misc_RNA from 1 species
GUGAAUCAUCAAAUUUUUGAACGCAAAUUGCACUCUCUGGUAUUCCGGAGAGUAUGCCUGUUUGAGGGUCAGUUUAAAUAAAAAUCGGUGUGUUUGCUCCCUUUCUUGUUAACGCACCGAAUUGGGGUCGUCUUGCCUUCGGUUAAGGUACCUAAAUUUUUGCAUGAUUUUUUUCUAACGUGUUUAAAUGUUUUUACUAACUUUUGCGAUAUCGAAUCCAAG